rnacentral:rRNA from 1 species
GACGAACGCUGGCGGCGUGCCUAAUACAUGCAAGUAGAACGCAGUUGUGAACGGGUGAGUAACGCGUAGGUAACUGCCUCAUAGCGGGGGAUCACUAUUGGAAACGCUAGCUAAUACCGCCUACUGUGAGAUGGACCUGCGUUGUAUUAGCUAGUUGGUGAGGUAAAGGCUCACCAAGGCGACGAUACAUAGCCGACCUGGGAGGGUGAUCGGCUAGACUGGGACUGAGAGAAGGCCCAGACUGCUACGGGAGGCAGCAGUAGGGAAUCUGCGGCAAUGGACGGAAGGCGGACCGGGCAACGCCGCGGGAGUGAAGAAGGGUUUCGGAUCGUAAAGCUCUGUUGUUAGAGAAGCGGUAAAUAAACAGAAAGGGACGGCUAACUACGUGCCAGCAGCCGCGGUAAUAC